UAAAAUUAUUUGUAUGGAGCUUGAACAGCUUCCCUCCGUUUGCCACUAGGGGCGCUGUUCUAACUCCAUACAAAUUUGAGUUA
rnacentral:pre_miRNA from 1 species